UACGUAGGGUGCGAGCGUUAAUCGGAAUUACUGGGCGUAAAGCGUGCGCAGGCGGUUCGUUGUGUCGGUGGUGAAAUCCCCGGGCUUAACCUGGGAAUGGCCAUGGAAACUGGCGAACUGGAGUGCGGCAGAGGGGGGUGGAAUUCCGCGUGUAGCAGUGAAAUGCGUAGAUAUCAGGAGGAACACCGGUGGCGAAGGCGGGUCUCUGGGCCGAUACUGACGCUGAGGAGCGAAAGCGUGGGGAGCAAACAGG
rnacentral:rRNA from 1 species